GGCAGUUGCUAAAGAUGAAAGAUGUAAUGCCUUGUGAUAGGCAACAAUUCCUCCUGCCCUCACCCAGUCUGACUGUGGAGAAGUCUUUGUGUUUGUCCCAGUGGUGAGUGAGCUCAGCGCUGCUUCAUCCAUUGGUGCCACACCAGCUAGGCUGAAGCAGUAGGUGAGGAGCCGCAGAGUGAUAUCAUCACCCAAACGGAGAAGAUGUGAAUCAAACCAAACCCAGGGGUAUUCCUAAAGCAGAGCCCAGCUGGUUUGUAGACCUGGUAGUACGUUAUGGACCCCACUUGUGAAGCAUCUGAGACUGGCAGUUGAGAACUGAGAAAAAUGGGGAAGAUUUGGCUACAUAAUACAACAGAAGAUAGGUUUUAUUGCCACGGUUUUAAUGGAAUUGCAGUAGGAUUUUUAUACGAGUCUCUGAAAGUCUGUGACUUCAAAUAACUCUGAACCUCCAGAUUUGUACUCUCACCUUGUUCUUGUUUAAAUAGAUGUUACCGUCACCUGCUUGA